UUAAUUUCUUUAACUGCAAGAAAAAAAAUUGACUAAAACAAGUCUAAGGGUGUUGAAGUAGUAUCUGCAUCAACUAAAAAAAAUAAAUUUUAUUUUAAAUGAAAAACAUACCAUUAGCUGAAACAUUUCACCUCAUGCAUUCACUAUUGGUUCUCUUUUUGCCUGAUUUGUCCCCAGCGAAGUGGCAUUUAUUCUCCAAUAUUUAAUUAUAAAAAGGCACCAAAACAAGGCAGGGAACAACUUGUAUCACUCCCCUCCAGCCCCAUAAUUUUCACUGGUCACUUGGUAAAAGAUACAGCAAGUUUUAGGAAAAAGAAGCUUUUCAGUUCACUGAAAUUUCAUUUAGCAAAGCCCUGCUGGGGUGUUGGGAUAGGAAAAGUGAGUCCUGAUGCCAAAAUGCCUGCAGGGAAAAUAUUUUGCCACUCACAUGCCAAUAUCUCCCUGACUCUAUUAGAACAAUAUUUAUAAAGGCAGGUGCUGCUCCUGAUGAUUCCUUGAGAUCCCAUGGUUUAAAGGAGACAGAAAUCAACUGGGAGUUUGACACUCCACAGCUUUUGCUGCAAACCGUCUCUUUGCAAGAUUUUGCAGGGUUAGAAAGGGAUUUUUUCCUUCUUGUGCUUGGCUGCUCCUGUGGAUCCCAGCCUUUCUGCAGGCAGCAGGCCAUGGUUCCAGUCAGCCCAGUUUAGGCAAAUACAGGAACUCCAGUGCGACCCAGUUCUUCUCUGCAUUGCCAGACUGUUCAUUCUUGGAGCAUUUCCCAGGAAUCUGCGCUGGACAGAUGUAGUUCAAAUCCAGAAGAUUUGUCUCCAGCACUGGGAAAGGAUUUGAUACAGCCUUUCAUAAACUUUUUCAAAACGUGAUGAUGAGAUGACAGUCAGCUUUCCCCCACCUCUGUUGGGAAAGAAGGGAUCUUCAGAGAGCUUCUUCCUGCACCUGCAGAUGGCUUCUCUACCACAGCUGUGGGGCUCAGCUUAUUUAAGUCGGAAUUAUUUGGUUGCCUUGAUACAUGAAUGACUGAUUCUGCCAUCUUCAGAGGUUAAACAUCACUUCAGUCUUCACAGGUGGACUAGAAGAGAUAAAGGAGACAGGAUGCCAUUUGUAGGAAGAUGUGUCACCAAGCAAGAGGAUGAGAGUUAAAUAUUUUCUGCAAAGCAGCCUCUCCUUCCUCUCUCCCCACCAUGCCUUUACUGUGCCUUUACUUGUAGACCUCUAGACCCUCGGUCUUUUGAGUUCUCUGUGUCAGAUUCAAUGUUUGCAUUCAGUUCCUUGGAGAAACGUCAGGCAUUGCUUUGCUAGUGAGAUCAUGCUCAAAGCCUCGGAUCCAUCUGGAGAGAGAAAAUGAGCAGCAUAAAUUCCCAGUUUGUGUAUUAGCUAAAAAGGUGGUUAGUCCCUGCUAUUUCUGCAUUCUGGAUCCUCAGUCUGAGUGUGGGCUCAUUACUCUAUUGAAUCAUAUAUUAUUGAAUUAUCAGAAGUAAUUUCUUUCCCUGGGAAGUGAAUCGUACAUACAUGCAACUCUAUUCCAAAAUGGAUUUCUUGUGUCUCUCAGACAUUGCUUUUGCCUUGGACAGUCUUCAGAAAAACAAAUUGCCCAGUUAAGUUCACCAUUGGUUUUGGCCCCAUGGAGAAAUGAAAGGAGAUCAUAGAUUUAUCACAUUUUCUGAAUGCUGAGAUUCAUAUGCAGUUGAAGGAGCAGCAGCUUUCUUUAGCAGCCACUGUCUUGUGCUGCCCUUAAGCAUCCUAGAUUGAUGGAUUUUUCAUUUUCCAAUGCAAUUGCACCUUUCUGUGCUAGUGCUUCAGCAAAGUUGUAGUAUCUCCAAACCUAACAGAGGGGUUAUUUUGAAGUUUUCAGUUUUACAGGAGUAUUAGUGCCAGGCUUGUUUCCUUAACAGUCUGUUACAUGCAGUAGGCAAGGAUUGUGCUGUUUGAGAUGAACACAGCACAAACUGCUGUGCAGAUCUGCCCACUUCAAACACCUCAGUGGAAGCCAGAUGAGUGUCACUGUUUCAGACAUGGACCAGAGCAGUGGGAAAAUGGCCAUCAAGAAUUAAGGGUUUAUUGAUAUAAUGAAGGGCAGAUUUUCUUCCUUCCUCACCAAUCCCUUCCCAAAGAAGUCUUUAAGCAGAAACAGAAAGGCUUGCUGUCCAGCACUCUGUCACUCCUUUUCACAGAUUUCUGUGCUGCUUUUCCUCACACAUGCAGUUACUCCAUUUAUCCCUAUUUUUAUGGUAUGGCCCCACUUGCAAUGCAUCUGUUCUUAGUUAUUCUCCAUCCUUUCACUCUUCUUAACUUCACUGUAUUCCCCUGAAAAUCACCUUUUUGCCUGUCUGCCUCUCAAGGCUUCUGCAUUUUUUGUUACCCUCUUUCUAUGGAGCAUCUUUGUUCUCACUAAAUAUCUUAAGCCCAGUUUCUUCAGCAGUUUCCUUCAUCUCACUGCUGCUG